rnacentral:rRNA from 1 species
UACGUAGGGUGCAAGCGUUGUCCGGAAUUAUUGGGCGUAAAGAGCUCGUAGGCGGUUCGUCGCGUCGGCUGUGAAAACCCGGAGCUCAACUCCGGGCCUGCAGUCGAUACGGGCGGACUUGAGUGUUGCAGGGGAGACUGGAAUUCCUGGUGUAGCGGUGAAAUGCGCAGAUAUCAGGAGGAACACCGGUGGCGAAGGCGGGUCUCUGGGCAACUACUGACGCUGAGGCGCGAAAGCGUGGGGAGCAAACAGG